GACUGUUUACCAAAAACAUAGGUUUCUGCUAAGUCGCAAGACGAUGUAUAGGAGCUGACGCCUGCCCGGUGCUGGAAGGUUAAGGGGAUCUGUUAGAGUAAUCGAAGCAGUGAACUUAAGCCCCAGUAAACGGCGGCCGUAACUAUAACGGUCCUAAGGUAGCGAAAUUCCUUGUCGGGUAAGUUCCGACCCGCACGAAAGGCGUAACGAUUUGGGCACUGUCUCAACAACAGACUCGGUGAAAUUGUAAUUCCGGUGAAGAUGCCGGAUACCUGCGACAGGACGGAAAGACCCCAUGGAGCUUUACUGUAGCUUGACAUUGGGUCUUGGUACUACAUGUACAGGAUAGG
rnacentral:rRNA from 1 species